ACGAAAACGUCCUUAAUUAGAUACAAGUAUAUCAUUUCGUCCCAGUAUUAUAGAAUUAAUAAAAUGCCAGUUUUAAAUACUUUUACAUUACACAUGACAUUUUUCUUAAUAAGUCAGUGUUAUUUUACAACGGCUAUGUCUACAACUGCAGUAACAGAAGCCAGUAAAACUAAGACAAGGGUCUCCAGUUUUGACCACAACAUAAUAAACAAACUAUUCCCAAGUGACGACGUGAAGUGCGCUGGCAAUACAGAUAAAAUCAAUCGAUAUAAAAGACAAGGUCCGGCCGGAAUUUCACCCCCAGCAAUGAUACGCCUUUUUCUAAAAUUAGUCAAGAAUCUUCUCUUCGGACAAUUUGAAGACAUUAAUCACCCAAUGUCUAAACAAAAUGUUGAACCCGUUUUAAUUAAUAUGAAGAAGGGUUACUUUCCAUACAUGUACGAAAAAGAUGCGGACACAAAUGGAAAUCAAUUAUAUCAUGGAAAGUAAAUGGUUUCAGAGCUAAAAACAACACAACUGCAGUAACUAUUGAUUUAACAACAAAAAUAAAAGAAAAUAUCGAUAAAAAGCACUGUGUACUGGGUGUCUUCAUUGAUUUGAAAAAAACUUUUGAUACCGUAAGUCACAAACUAUUAUUCAAAAAACUGUAAUAUAUGCCUAUCAGGGGAUGUGUAUUAAAAAAGUUAAAAUCGUAUCUAAAUCUAGAUAGAAAAAAUAGACAAUUUUGAGAGUAGUACACUGUCAAUCAUAUACGGAGUUCCGCAGGGGUCCAUAUUGGGUCCGCUACUGUUCUUGAUAUAAAUGGCAUCGCAGAACUAAAUCUACAUGGUCACAUAAUCUUAUAUGCGUAUGAUACGUGUUUAUUUUAUUUCGGAGCCAAUUUUCCCGACAUUAUUUCAAAAGCCCAAGAGGACCUCAAUGUUCUCUCUGAGUGGUUUAAAAAUAACUUAAUAACCAUAAAUAUUUCCAAAACUUGUUACAUUGUCUUUAAAGCCAACAAUAAAAAAUCUCGACAGCUCGACACACCAACUAUUGGUAACAUCCCACUAGUACAAAAAGACUGCGAAAAGUAACUUGGCUUGAGAAUUGAUCAUCACUUAACAUGGCACUUACAGGAUCUCUUCAUGGUAUAAACCGAUGCAUACCUAAAAAUUUACUUUAUACUAUAAUAUUCUUAUAAAGUCGCAUCCAUUAUAUCUCAAAGAAAUCUGGGGAAGUGCCAGAAAAACAAAACUGCAAGUAUUACAACGAUUGUUUCGUUAUCCAUACUUAAUACCAACAUCUAAAAUUUUUGAAGAAACAAAUCUGAUGAAUAUCAAACACACACAUAACACUUGCGUCCUGAUUAGGAAGAUUACGGAUAAGAUCACAUACACUAGCUUAUCAUUUAUAAAAAAAAAAUAUACAAAUUUCUAAACGCCGUCUUCGUCGACCAAGCUUGCUUGUUUUGCCAAAAAUACGCACUAAUUAUGAUAAAAAGAGUACCUAUAAUAUAUGAAGGAGCACAACUAUUUAACAAACUACUCACAAAUUUAAAAAGUGUUAGCUCACUCGGCAUUUUUAAAUCUCGCCUAUCUAGAUAGCAAACUGUCUUGAAUAACUUAAUAAAUGACUAAUGUCCGAAUACUCAAACGCUACUCAAUUGUAAGACGCUCUCAAUACUAGUUCUGUCCCUAUCAACUUUAUAAAAUGACAGAAAUAGCACGAUAUUUAAGUACAACUUAAAAUUGAGUAGCAUUUCAGUAUUCGGGCGUAAGAGUUUAAUUGCUGAUUGAUAUUAUAAUACU